CGUUCUCAGUCUCUCGAUUCUCUUCCACCAUGUCCGAAAUUCGAAGAUUUCUGAGAUCUCAAAUCCCAAAUCAUACCAAACUAUUUAUUUUUCGCCUUAGGGUUUUGAGGUUUGCAUAUAAAAGUUGUUUUAGGGUUCAGUCUCUUCUCUAGUCUCCAAAAAUUCUCAAGAGCAGCAGCACAAAGAAGAAGAAAUGACCUAAAUUUCUCAUUUCCUUGGUUUUUGAUUUGAGAGAUCGUGAACAGGAACAAUACUUUCCUCGUCAAAGAGUUUGGAAAUGGAAAUCAGAUGGUUCAGUUCAGUAAAGAACCUAACAAUCUCUACAACGUUAACUCCUUCAAACACUCUGGUUAGCAAAUGCAAAGACUGUUUCAGUCAAGCUGUAAAAGAUUGAAGGUGUUGUUCUUGCUACUACUAAUCCUAACAAACAAAAGAACCCUUCAAGUUUGGUGGGCAAAACUGUCAUGAAGAAGAAAAUCAGUAGAACGGCUAAGGCCGCAGAGAUUGAGAGGCGUGCCGAGAAUCAUAAUUGGAAACUACUACUGCUUGGGGAUGGAGAGUCACGGAAGUCUACAACCUUUAAGCAGGUAGAAAACCAAAAGUUUUCUUAUAAUUGAAAAUCAAACAACAUAUUUUGCAUUCAGUCUUGUGAUAUAGGAAGGUAUGAAGUGGACUACAGGGGAAUGGGGGUGUAAUUGCAUUUCCGCAGCGCCAAGAUUCCAUGUAUAGGAUGGUGGAGGGAAAGGUUGUUCCCAUCUUGGUAAUUGAAGGAUGGAACUUAACUAAUACUUUCCAUUUACAAGAGAUUGCUGAGCUCCGGGGAAUCCCUUCUUACUGGAUGGAUAGCGAGUAGAGAAUAGGACCAGGAAAUACAAUUAGCUUUAAGUUGUUUGUAACUUGUUUUCUCAUCAGUCUUGGUUACUUCUCUCUGCUUUAAAGGGCGUCCUUUACACUUUUUGAUUUCAUUCUGGAUUUUACAAUGUACCUGUUGUUGUACUUCUCAGAUUUCUUCGAGAGCAUCGAUCUGUGACAGCCUUCCUCCUUUUAUUAUCUCUCCCGGUACUGGCAGGUGCAAUUACGAUGUUAUUAACCGAUAGAAACUUUAAUACAACCUUUUCUGAUCUUGCUGGAGGUCAAAAACGAUCUGGCGUGGGAACUGGAAUAUAUUGUCUGUCUCGAGAAGACAAUCAGAGAUGGAUUUGUGUAUUACUAGAUAAACCCGAAUAGGAAGAUAGUAGUAUUGAUAUUAAUACAUAAUGUGAAAAAUUUAAAGCUUUCUACUUUGCUGUCAAGUUGUUUAAUCCUGAGUUCACUCAUUUCAGCCUGUUGAGCCCACUGUUGAAGACGAAUAGGAUGACGAGGACAACGAUGAUGUUGAAGGGAAGUUGCUUAUAUGCUUGCAGAUGACUGCAGUAGACGUGUGAUGAUUGAGAUAGGUGGUGACAGUGAUAUACCUUAUCCUACCUGUAUCUUCAGUGGUCUUUUCCUCUCUUACUCUGGAAUUUUUUAUUUUAUGUUGCAGGAGUUUUGAACUGUCUUUCCAAGUUCUAUCCCUGGGAUUCAAAGAGGGUACUAAUUGCAGUGAGGUUGAUAUCAUCAAGGCUUGAAUAUUGACUAUUUUAUUUUUGCUUUCGAGAGUUGGGUAUUCUAAGGCUUCUUAUCUCACGUGCAAUGGGAUUCGAGACUAUACCUGGAUUUACCUUGCUGCUGUUGCAUCCGAUGCUGCUUGUAAUAAUCUAAAUGUGGCGUUGUGGAAGGCUCGGUAAUGGGUGGCAUGAAGAGCCAACGACAAGAUUGACUAGAGAUCCUUGGGAUUGGAAAUGUUAUUUGUACCUAGUUCUGCAAUAAUGCCUUGGGCAAUGCAUCAUAAUUAUUUUGUGUAUCAAUUGUUUUUUUAGUUGUCUACUGUUACCAUGUUGGUUUCUUCAAGGUUGUGUAUUUUUGGUUAACUCAAUACACAAACCAAGUUCAUUCCCCAAGUUGUGUACCCUUUCCCUCUUCAGUUUUUGUGCUAAGUGUCAUAUUCUCUUGCAUUGCUGCACUUGCAAAACAUAGAAAUAUCUUAUCGACAAGUAGUCCUUUUCAUUUCUAGUUUUAUUUUUUGUCCAACAGUUUUUGUAAAGUAUUAGCUAAAUUUGGUUCUAGA